UAUAACCCAAUUAAAGGCCAUGACGAUCUCUUUAAAAUUGAGAGAGAAUGGGACAAUUUAUUUACUGAUUAUUAUUUGGUGCCCUAUUUCAUUUGAUGACUACCAUCUUUGAGUACAAAGUCAUAACUACAUGGACUUGAAAUUAUUUAAAAAAAAAAACAAAUUAUUGAGUGACAACACAAUAACUAAAUAACAACCUAUUAAAUAUUAUAUCAGGAUGUUUGUGUACUCUCAUAGGUCUGACAUUAAAUAAAGAAUCAUGCGGGAUCUAUUGACUCAAAGAUUCGAACACAUUUACAUUGGUGCUUUAUACAUUGCACCCUAUGAGAACCAGCCCUGCAAUACGUAGCUUUUGGACAAUCAUAGACAUUACGACAUCUGAUACCCGCUGUAAUGAAAAAAUAGAUUAAAAGAAUAUAACUAAUGAGAUGAAAUAUUGUUUAUAAAGUAAAGAAGGAAAUUUGAGAAGAUUGAAAAGUAGGCUUACCAUCAACAUUCGUCGAAACAAGAAAUAGGUAAAUAAAUAUAGUCAUAACGUAAAAUAAAAUUAAAAUUUGAGCCAUAUUCCUACACCUCCGCCGUUUACCACUUUAUAUUUUAUGAAACUAACACUCUCCUUACGCCAUUUAAAUAGCUUUAAUUAUAAAAAAAAAAAAAUCAAUUAAAUAGCUUAAAGUGCUUUUGGAGUUGUGAAAAACUAUUUUUAAAACUACCACGGUCAGUAAAUAUCUUUUAAGUAAAUUAUUGUUUUUUUGUCAAGUAGUCUAGUAGUUAGAAUUCACUUUUUAAAAUAAAUAAGUACGUAGGGCGUUCGGGAUUCGAACCCCGACCCCUGCAUAUAACAAUGUACUGUUCAUGUCAACUAAGUUAUGGUCACGUGGACAAAUAAUUGUAUUUUCUAAUUUGUCCCUUUAGCACACUUAGUAAAUAGGCCACUUAAAAAACUUACCAAUCAAAAGAAUUAAAAAAAAAAAUUAAUAAAUUUUCAUAAUUUUAUAACCCUUCGUGAUAGGAAAGGAAAACUCAUGGAGAUUUUUUUAUUGCAAAAAUUAGAUUAAAAGGGCACUGCAUGGAAGAAAUGGCAUCCCAAGCAGAGCUGUCAAAAUGGGCGGCCCGGUUCUAAAUGGGCCGGCCCAUAUUAAAAAUUAUAUAUAUUUUUUAUUUUAAAAAAAUACUAUAAAACACUGCUAUAAUUUUUUUAUAAAUAAUAUUUUUAAUAUGUUUAAAUAAUGUCUAGCACAAAAGUAAAUUGUAAUCAUUUUCGUACAAACGUCGUAAACUAAAACGACGAGGAAAAUAAUUUUAAAUAAAUUAGAUAUGUUAUGGUUAUAGAUAUUUAUAUAUUCGAUCUUUAAAACUAUAAAUAACGAAAUGAAUAAAUAUAAUUUUAUAUUACAUUUAUAUUUGUGUUAAUUCAUUGAAUUUUCACUUUUGUUUUUUACUUUGAUAAUCAACUAAGUAAAUAAUUAUUUGAAAAAUAUAUAUAAUUUAUAGAAUUUUUUUUGUUAUGCGGGCUAACGGGCUACCCGCGGCCCAUUCGGGCUAGCCCUAACGGGUACCGGGCUUUUAAGGGCCGGGCUAAAAAGCCCUAUUAAAAUUCGGGCUCAAUAUUUUAGACCCAAACCCUAUAUUUAUUCGGGCUAAACGGGCCGGUCCGUUUUGACAGCUCUAAAUUCCCAAGACUACCAUCUAUCAUUUGCAGGCACUCCAAUAAAUAAGAUGAUAAUCAAUCAUACACUAAUUUUAGAGUCAUUUAAAUAAAAUAUCAUUAUUAUUUAUUGAGUCAAGUAGUGUCGAUUAAAUUAAGAAGCGUGUUUUGGAGUGAAAAGUGGAUCAAAGAAACAAAUAUCAUUCUGGCCUAACAGGAGGUAUAAAUAUGAAUAAAGAAGUGGACAUUUUGACUCUAUAGCUGACCCGAUAUGAAGAAUUGGAAUGGAGUUCAAUUAGGUAUAGGCUUCUAACAUGUGGGGUAUCACGUAAUAUAAAAGGCAGCGCACUAACAUAAAAACAGUAUCAUGUUUUGGCACAAAGGGAGAUCAUACUCUUUGACAUCAAUGAAAACUUAGUCUUUAUUCAGAAUUGUUUGUGUUUAAUGUUUUUCUUAUAAUUUUGUAUGACUACUAGACCUAACUUGUGAGUUGUAUGAAUUGAUCUUAGAAUUUAAUUGACUAUUAGUCAUAGCUAUUAAAUCUGAACUAAUGAUUAUGUUUAACUUUACAUAUUAAGCUAGAGAUAAAAAAUUGUGAGUUAUGACUUAGGGAUUAACGAACUAAAUAUUGCUUCCAUGGUUAGGAAUCGACUUAAGAGAUUAUAACUUAGGAAAGAGUUUUGACUCAAGAAAUUGAUCAAAACUAUUAGGUUAAUCAGUUGUAAAACUAGGUGAACAUUGAGAAAGAAGAGGAGCAAAUUAUUCACAGUGUGCAAUAGAUGAUUUGAAGGCUUGAUCAUUUAUUUUAAUCUAAUUCUCAAACCAAUUUAUUUACAUUUAUUUUAAUCAAAUUCUCAAACCAAUUUAUUUACAUUGUUUAAAGUUAAUGAAAUUGUUGAGUAAAAAUUAACAGCGGUCCUUGUGGAUACGAAUUUUAUUAUUACUUCGAUAGUUUUGGUACACUUUCCAAAAGUCUAUCAAGUUUUUGGCACCGUUGUCGGGGACUGUUGGAUCAUUUCGACUUGGAAAUUUCGUUAUUAUUUAAGAUUUAUGUCUUUACAUUUUUGUUUGCAUAUUGAAAAAAUAUUAUGAUUUAUGCUCUUCAUGACUAUUUCAUUAUGUUUUUCUACUAAAAGGUUUUUCUGAGUUUUGUAGUAAUGUGGGAUAGCCGACCAUCGAAUGAUUAUGAAGAGAUCAAAUAUCCUUUGUUAUGAAAAAUGGACGAUCUCUCUGCAUGUAAAGGAUUUGAAAGCAAGAUUGAGUAUGAGUUAUGAUUUUUGUGAAGGCUAUCAUAAUAGUUACUAUUGUGAGGAGCAAUUCAUAAAAAAAAAAAAGAAGAGCAUGAAGUAUCAACAUAGAUUACAACUCUCAACUUCAAACUAUUUUAGAUUAAUUUUUGAGGUCAAAUCUAGGUUCAUUUGAUAAAUUUAAAGUUCAAUGUGGUGAUCUUGUUAAGAAAGCAAAUGAAUGUGAAAAGAAGUUGGUUGAGAUGAAGAUUGAGUGUCAUGUUAUUGUGGUGGGAGAAAAUUCAUAAGUGAUGAGUGUUGAUCUCUACUAAAGUCUCAACCAAUGGGGUUGAAAGAAACUAUUUAUUUGCUAAAGGAUACAUAUUCUUCUCUAUGGUGGGAGAACUCAAAUUCCAAAAGUUUAACAAUGGGAGCAUGGGAGCAUCUGCUUCUUUGUAUGAAGUUCAUGUAAUUCCUACCAAACAAGAGGAAGAAGAAGGAUGGUGUAUUUUUCUGUCAUAUUUGUCACCUUAACCGUGGUUGAGGCGUCAAGCUUAAUGACGUAAAAGAAAGCUCUUGAUGGGAGGCAACCCAUCCUUUUUCGAACUUUGUUUGCAGGUAUUUCUAUUCAGUAAAAAAAACAACAAAAAACAAAAAAAGAAGAAAGAAAAAAAGUGAAAAGAUGGACAAAAAAAAAUCAAUGUCAACAUCAGUUAUUCUUUUUUUCUUCAGUAACUCGUCUUUGUCAGAUGCCAGUCGUGUCAGUUUGAUUCUAUCUUUCAAAAACUUGUAUUGCUUGCUUGUUUAUUAUUAACAAAUUUUCUUGUUUCUUGAAAUUUUCCAGUCUCAUAAUAGAUGUUUCUACCAAUGAUAUUUCAAAAGUUCAACAGGGGGCGAUGCUUGCAAGGAAUUUCAACGGGAAGUAUUCGGCAAUGAGAAAGUUAGGUAGCCACAUCUCAUAGAAAACUCAUUUUCAUUUAUUAAGGCCAACAUACAAAUAUCCAUCAGAAAUAAAAUAUCAUUUGGAUUGAAAAGUGGACCAAAGAAACAAAUAUCAUUUGGAAGUUUCUUGCUUGUGUACGUGAGCAUUUGGAAGUCUCUUGGAAAUGUCCUCUAGCAAUUAUAAUCUUAUGUGAUUAUAGUGAAAUUUCUUGGAAGUGCAAAGGGAAUGGACUACUCCUAGAUUAUAGGAGGAACCGAUAUAAAUUGCUUUGUGAUUCAUGUUAAAAAUCCGGGUGUGUCAAUUGUUUUUUGAGAAACAAUUUAUUUUUAAGUAAUGUCAAUGUUAAAAAUCCGGGUGUUAGACUAACCAUAAUGGUUCUGUUGGAAAACCGCUAAGACCAUGAGGUCUCCAUGAAGUAACUCAAAGUUGCAACAUCCUGUUACAUGCAAACCUAUAUUUUGACCAAGUCAAAUUCCUUAACCACUCUUUUGCAUUUAAGAUCUAAAAUCACUUUUAUUAUUUUGACUAUUCAUUAAACUUUACUUUUAUUGUUGAAACUUUAAAUAAUUUAUUUUAUUUGCACACAAACAAGUUGUUUGUUUUGAAAGAAGUUGAAAGUAAUAACAUAAUCCAUAUGGAUACGAUAUAUUUAUACUAUAAUUUAAGGUAGUGUAUACAUGCCGUUAUAUAUGUGUGUUUUAUAUUUCACUCUCUAUCAUACUUUGGAGGUUGUUUAUGUUGAAAACACAAUUCAACAAAAUAUUUAUAAUGUGUCAGGUCAUACAGUCGAUGCAACUAUCCCUGAAAAAAAAUUGAUUGAAGAAUCCCUUUCCGAUAACUUUUUUUAUGCCAAUUGUGAUGAAGACAAUGAAUUAGCCCCUGUUUGGAACAAUGUUCAAAUGGGCACAAACACACAAGUACAAGCUUACAAUUGUACCUUCACAAAAAUCACGUUGAGAGUGCAUUGAAAAGUGAGAAAGAUGAUGCAAACUCGAAUACAAACACUCUAUUAGUGGAUGACAUUGUUAAAGCUAUAGAUUUGGCGUAAGAUAUUGUUGCAGUUGAGGACUUGAAAAGGAAAGUCUUGGCGCAUUAGGAGAAUGCAACCGCAGAUCAUAACUGCAAUACAAAUUUUAUGUAUGACAAGCAUCUUUAAGGUAUUGGUAGCAUUAUGUAUGACAAGCAUCUUUUAGGAGUUUGUAGCAGAUAGUAUUAUUCUACUACCGCAAAAUCACCUAUUGAUAAAUAUCAUCCAUCGUGGUUAUAUCUAAAUCUAAUAAGAAGAACUCAUGCAUUCAAAGAAAACUUGAUCCUAAUACUCGCUCAUAAUCUUCUAAUUAAUCAGCUUGCUUAAGGUGUUUUUAGAGACUUUUUUUUAUCCUAAUUUAGAAUCUAUAGCAUAUCCUCUUGUUUUAAUCUAAUGUUGGACCAUCUUUUCUUAUUUGGACUUUAGAAUCUAUUCCUUGGUUUGGUUUAUGUGACGCCAUAUAUUGUAUUUUUACUUUUUUAUUAAUAUAAUUUAACUUAAAAAAUAUGAAAAACACAAACUAGGACAAAGUCAGAGUCUAGGGUCAACCUUUCUAUGCACAAUCUUCAUUAUACUUCUAAAUAAAGUAAUCUCCUGAAGAAAAUCCACACUUAUAGGUGACGAAGUAAAACUUGAAACAAAACUCACGGGAACGAUAAUAAAGAUGUAAAAUUGCAAAGGAUUAAUAUCAAUGUCUAAUUUAAAUAAGAUGACAAAUUUGAAUCAAAUCCGAAAACAUAUGGAGGUUCACUUAAAACAUCUCACUAUUGCGGAAGUAACGAUGGUAUUGUCGAUUUUUAAGUAUAAAUGAUUUGAAAAGUAUAGAUGAAAGCACUUGAUGAGAAGUAAAAUAAAAGUUAUUUAUCAACUAAAUAUGUCAAGGUAUUCUGAUAGACGAUAUGGUUAGAUGAAAAAAAAAAGUGAUAUAACCAAAUUAAAGGUUAUGACGAUAUCUCUAAAAUCAAGAGAGAAUAUGACAAUUUAUUUACACAUUAUUAUUUGUUGCCUUAUUUCAUUUCAUGUCUACCAUCUUUGAGUACAAAGUCAUAACUACAUGGACUUGAAAUUAUUAAAAUAAAAUAAAAAAUCAAAUUAUUGAGUGCCAACACAAUAACUAAAUGGCAACCUAUGAAAUAUUGUAUCAAGAUGUUUGUGUACGCUCACAGAUCUGACACUAAAUAAAGAAUCAUGCGGGAUCUAUCGGCUCAAAGAUUCGAACACAUUUACAUUGGUGCUUUAUACAUUGCAUAUGAGAAUCAAGCCAACAAAACGUGUCUUUUGGACAAUCAGAGACAUGAUUACAUCUCAUACCCGCUGUAAUGAAAAAAUAGAAUAAAAGAAUAUAAAUACUGAGAUGAAAUAUUUUAAUUACAAAUUAAAGAAGGGAAUUUGGGAAGAUUGAAAAGUGGGUUUUACCAUCAACAGUCGUUGAAACAAGAAAUAGGUAAAUAAAUAUAGUCAUAACAUAAAAAAAUUUGAAAAUUUGAGCCAUAUUCCUACACCUUUGCCCUUCAAAUUGUUUUACCACUUUAUAUUUUAUGAAACUAACACUCUCCUACU
rnacentral:lncRNA from 1 species